GUUCACUGGUGGAGUCAGACGUUGGUUACACACACACACAUACACACACAAACACAAACACACACAAACACAAACACAAAGAGAGAGAGAGAGAAAUACAUGUAUUCAGAUGCUGCUCUGAACCUUAUCUGUUUCUGGAGGGCAGGGAAGUCUUCCUGAACUAGGAUAGAAGAAAUGGGUAGAAAUUUGCUAGUUAAGCAGGUGUUGGGGGAAGGUCCUCAGGAGAACAUUCCAGAGCAUGUGCAAGAGGAAGGGAGAUGAUCCAUUCCUGCAGCUCAAAGAAAACCAAUGUCUCUGAACCACAUGGAGCAGGAAGACGCAGCAGGAGAAUCCAGCAGGGGAAGGGUCAGAAAGGCCAUGUUUGUAACUAAUCAGAACUGUGAACUGUGGUUUGGAGGACAAGUGGGAGGGUGAGUAACACAGGGCAGAUGUAGGAGACCCAGGAGAGUACUGCAGUUUUCCAGUAAAGAAAUAAUAGUAGCUGGGACUAGAGAGGUUCAAAGUGAGAAGAAGACCAGUGGGGAGGUUUAAGAGAGAUUUCUGAAUUAAAGUAUACAGGGAAUGGUGACAGAUGAUAUACGGAGUAGAGACAGAGAAGGCAGUGUCAAGAGUGACUCCCAAAUCUGGCUUGCAAACAGAAUGAACGGUGGUGUCGUUCACUGAGAGAGGACACCCAAGAGGAGGCCGUGAUUGGCAGCAGAGAGAGCAGGAGUUCAAGCUGAGAUGUAGAGCCACGUGACUAUGUCUAGUCAGAAUGUGGAUAUGUAGGUUUGGGACUUAGAAGAAAGGUCUGGGAUGAAGAUCUAACCCUAGCAGUCAUCUGCAAAGAAAUGUUAAUAAAAUAAAAUAAAUACAAUUUUUAAAUGGAUGGAAUUUCCAAGGAAAAGGUGGAGGGUGAAAUGAGUAAAAGAUCUAGGGGCAAGGCUUUAAGAAAUUCAUUAUUAGAAGAAGAAAAUGUGUCUUAAUCCAUUCAGGCUGCUAUAACAAAAUACCAUAGACUAAGCGGCUUAUAAACCACAGAAAUUCAUUUCUCACAGUUCCGGAGGCUGGGAAGUCUAAGAUCAAGGUGCAAGUGAGAGUCUGCCUUCUGGCUCAUAGAUGCUGCCUUCUAGCUAUGCCCUCACAUGGUGGAGGAGGCAAGGAAGCUCUCUGGGAUUUCAUUUAUGAGAACACUAAUCCCAUUCAUAAAGACUCCACCCUCAUGACCUAAUCAUCACCCAAAGUCCCACCUAGUACCAUCACCUUGAGGAUUAAGAUUUCAGUAAAUGAAUUUUAGGGGUCACAAGUGUUCAGUCUAUAGCAGAAGGAAUAGCCGAGAAGGAUGAAUGAAAACCAUACAAGGAUGAUUUCGUGGAAGGCAAGGGAGUACAAUGUCUUGAAUAAACCAAGUCCUGAGACAAAUGUUACUGAGAAUUCAAGUAUAAUAAAACUGAGACUCAAAAGUAGCUAUUGGAUGUGAUGACAUGACUAUCAUUGGUUACCUUAGGCAGAGAAGCUUUGGUGGCGUUGACAGGGAGGGCCAGAUAGAAUGUGCUGAAAGAAUGCAAAGGUAGGGACCUGAAGACAGCUUCUGAAAGGAGCCGGCCGUGAGCCAGAGGAGAUGGACAGGAAGGUGACUAACAGGGUGCAGAGGUCGACAUUUUUGGCUUUAUUGUUUUUAAGAGAUAGACCUGAGCAUAUUUAAAAUGCUGAUGUGAAAUUGUCCAAGUUGAGAGGAACCGAUCAGAUCUAUAGGAGACAAAAGAAUGAUGUGUACCAGGGAACUAUGGCAAAAACCUCAAUUACUUUUGCACCAACCUUUGGGAGGCUCUUCACAAAACAAGGCUGAUUUUGGCCUGAGUCGAGAGGAGGAGCAGCUUCUUUUCUACCACAGGAUGGAAGGAGAGGCUGGUGCAAGUGCAAGGAGGUAGCAGGGAGCAGAGGGAGGCCUCACCCAUGCUUGGGUUCUUGGAAUGAGGAAGAUGACAUCGGCAGGAUCAUAGGUGAGCAUCUUCUAACCCAAUGAAGAUUUAGAACUAGGUAUAGGCUGGGCGGGGUGGCUUAUGCCUGUAAUCCCAGCACUUUGGGAGGCUGAGGCGGGUGGAUCAUCUGAGGUCAGGAGUUCGAGACCAGCCUGACUAACAUGGCAAAACCCGUCUCUACUAAAAAUACAAAAAUUAGCCAGGCAUGGUGGCAUGUGUCUGUAGUCCCAGGUACUCAGGAAACUGGGGCAGGAGAAUCGCUUGAACCCAGAAGGGGGAGGCUGCAGUGAGCCAAGAUCACACCACUGCACUCCAGCCUGAGCAACAGAGUAAGACCCUAUCUCA